rnacentral:other from 1 species
UUCUCUCUGCCCUGUUCGAUGGUUGCAGCGCCCGGGCGGAAUAAAUAAAGAACGGGGGACCUUCCCUACCGUGGUGUGCUGCCCCAAUGCGGGAAUUGCCUGAAGCGGUAUAUGGUCGCCCACCUGUUAAGGAACUCGCCGGAGGUCCUUUAGGCUAACGGCAGGGCGGAGAGAAC